UUUUUAAAAUUAUUCAAAGACUUAGUGUUAGUAAACUAAAUGAAGAGGACAAGUUUUAUCUAAUCUUAUCUUGCGUAAACAAGCUAUGAUAUGAUCCUCCAGCAGUUGGAAUAUAAGGGAAUCUAAAAUGAUUGAUUGUAUAUUGUAAUUGUAAAGACAUAUUUUUCUAAAAAAACCUGAUAUUUUUGGUUUCUUUCCUAGAUCCAGUGUGACGCGUCUGAGGUGGUUCCAUCAUGCAUGUGUGGGAAGCCCACCAACUGGAACAACUUAUCACUGCUUUGCCUGUUUGCCUUAUUUGCCUUUGUUCCUGAGUUUGCUGUGGUGUGCUUGUUUAUGUAUGUUGUUUAAUGGUUAAUAAAUUACAUUUUGAAAACUG